AUGCAUGGCCACCUUUCGACUCGCCUUCUCCAAGGAAUUUCAAGUGCAGCAAGGGAGGAAGGGCGUGUUCUUGGAACAGCCAGUGCACCCUACUACGUAAUAGAGAAAAGCCUACUUAAAAAACAGCUUCUGCGUACCGCUGGAGGCCUUGUAGUUACUGGCGUUGUAAUCUGGGCCUUUGAAAUGAUGGAGGACAUUGAUGUUCGUAAGUUUGAAGGUUUGAAAGAAGUGCCUAAGGAUUUGAUGAACACCAAGUUAAGUGAUGUAAAGGGGGUUGAUGAAGCCAAAGCUGAGCUUGAGAACAUAGUUCACUACCUACGAAAUCCCAGUAGAUUCAACCGCCUUGGUGGCAAGCUUCCAAAGGGCAUUUUGCUUGUGGGCCCACCUGGCACAGGGAAGACCAUGUUGGCAAGGGCUGUGGCUGGGGAAGCCGGCGUCCCUUUCUUUGCGUGCAGUGGCAGUGCUUUCGAGGAGACUUAUGUUGGUGUUGGUGCUAAGAGAGUGAGGGAGCUCUUCCGUGCAGCAAAGAAGCGAGCUCCUUGCAUAAUAUUCAUCGAUGAACUUGAUGCCGUUGGUGGGCGCAGAAACGCACAAGAACCAUCGUGGUCAAAGCAGACUCUGAACCAGCUGCUUGUUGAGAUGGAUGGCUUCAAGCAGAAUGAAGGGAUCAUCGUGAUCGCAGCAACCAACUUCGCUGAGUCGCUAGAUGACGCCCUUGUCAGGCCUGGGCGUUUUGACCGUCAAGUUCGUGUUCACCUUCCCGAUGUUGUGGGCCGAAAGCAGAUCUUGGAGGCUCACAUGUCAAAGGUGCAGAAAGGCAUUGGUGUGAAUGCGAUGACCAUCGCGAGGGGGACGCCUGGGUUCUCGGGUGCAGACCUUGCAAAUCUAGUGAAUGAAGCCGCUCUCAAGGCUUCCAGGGAUGGGGCAUAUGCUGUUAGGAUGGAUGACCUUGAGUACGCCAAGGACAAGAUCAUCAUGGGCACUGAGCGCAAGUCGGCGGCGAUAUCUGAUCAUUCCAAGAAGAUGACCGCGUACCACGAGGGUGGGCACGCCCUCGUUGCUAUCCUCACGGACGGUGCCGACCCUGUUCACAAGGCCACCAUUUUGCCCAGGGGAAAUGCUCUCGGCUUGGUGGCGCAGAUUCCGGGGGAAGACAGCGAGCUCGAAGUAUCGAGGAAGCAAAUGCUGGCGAGGCUGGAUGUCCUCAUGGGAGGGCGGGUGGCCGAGGAGCUUAUAUAUGGAGAAGCUGGGAUCACGACCGGUGCCUCAUCCGACCUAAACCAGGCGACCCAAUUGGCGAAAGACAUGGUCACCAAGUAUGGUAUGAGCAAGCGGGUCGGCCUCGUGACCUACAGCGACGACAACGCUGUUAGCGGUGGUGGCAAGACGAUGACCAUGAGCGGGCCAACGAUGACCCUGGUUGACGAGGAGGUGAAGGCAUUGUUGGACAACGCUUACAACAACGCGAAAACGAUUCUCACGAAGCACCGCAAGGAGCACCAAGCGGUAGCAAACUCCCUCCUGGAGCAUGGGACUCUCACUGGUGACCAGAUGAGGAAACUAGUAUUGAAGCGAGGUUUUAUGUCUUGA
rnacentral:rRNA from 1 species